GGAAUCUUCCGCAAUGGACGAAAGUCUGACGGAGCAACGCCGCGUGAGUGAAGAAGGUUUUCGGAUCGUAAAACUCUGUUGUGAGGGAAGAACAAGUACCAAUUAACUACUGGUACCUUGACGGUACCUCACCAGAAAGCCACGGCUAACUACGUGCCAGCAGCCGCGGUAAUACGUAGGUGGCAAGCGUUGUCCGGAAUUAUUGGGCGUAAAGCGCGCGCAGGCGGUUCUUUAAGUCUGAUGUGAAAGCCCACGGCUCAACCGUGGAGGGUCAUUGGAAACUGGGGAACUUGAGUGCAGAAGAGGAAAGUGGAAUUCCAUGUGUAGCGGUGAAAUGCGUAGAGAUGUGGAGGAACACCAGUGGCGAAGGCGACUUUCUGGUCUGUAACUGACGCUGAGGCG
rnacentral:rRNA from 1 species